rnacentral:rRNA from 1 species
UACGGAGGGUGCAAGCGUUGUUCGGAAUCACUGGGCGUAAAGCGCGUGUAGGCGGCUAUCUAAGUCUGAUGUGAAAGCCCUGGGCUUAACCCAGGAAGUGCAUUGGAUACUGGGUAGCUCGAGUACCGGAGAGGAGGGUGGAAUUCCUGGUGUAGCGGUGAAAUGCGUAGAUAUCAGGAGGAACACCGGUGGCGAAGGCGUCCCUCUGGCCGGAUACUGACGCUGAGACGCGAAAGCGUGGGGAGCAAACAGG